UUUGAACUUGGCAGGU
rnacentral:miRNA from 1 species